AGAUUGAACGCUGGCGGCAUGCCUUACACAUGCAAGUCGAACGGUAACGCGGGGGCAACCCUGGCGACGAGUGGCGAACGGGUGAGUAAUACAUCGGAACGUACCCAGUAGUGGGGGAUAGCUCGGCGAAAGCCGGAUUAAUACCGCAUACGACCUACGGGUGAAAGCGGGGGAUCGAAAGACCUCGCGCUAUUGGAGCGGCCGAUGUCGGAUUAGCUAGUUGGUGAGGUAAUGGCUCACCAAGGCGACGAUCCGUAGCUGGUCUGAGAGGAUGGCCAGCCACAUUGGGACUGAGACACGGCCCAAACUCCUACGGGAGGCAGCAGUGGGGAAUAUUGGACAAUGGGCGCAAGCCUGAUCCAGCCAUGCCGCGUGAGUGAUGACGGCCUUAGGGUUGUAAAGCUCUUUCGCACGCGACGAUAAUGACGGUAGCGUGAGAAGACGCCCGGCUAACUUCGUGCCAGCAGCCGC
rnacentral:rRNA from 1 species